CGCGUAGGCGGCUUAGCAAGUCAGAUGUGAAAGCCCCGGGCUCAACUCGGGAAUUGCAUCUGAAACUGCUUUGCUUGAGUCCUGGAGGGGAUAGUGGAAUUCCCAGUGUAGCGGUGAAAUGCGUAGAUAUUGGGAGGAACACCUGCGGCGAAGGCGGCUAUCUGGACAGUGACUGACGCUGAGGCGCGAAAGCUAGGGGAGCGAACG
rnacentral:rRNA from 1 species